CACCGCGGUUAUACGAGUGACUCAUAUUAACACACCCCGGCGUAAAGAGUGAUUUAAGGAUGGCCUUCAACAACUAAAGUUUAGACCUCAUCAAGCUGUUAUACGCACCCAUGAAUGGAAUAAUCAACAACGAAAGUGACUUUAAAUAUCAAGGAGCCUUGAUGUCACGAUAGUUGGGACC
rnacentral:rRNA from 1 species